rnacentral:rRNA from 1 species
GAUGAAUGCUGGCGGCGUGCUUAACACAUGCAAGUCGAACGGUAAGGCCCUUCGGGGUACACGAGUGGCGAACGGGUGAGUAACACGUGGGUGAUCUGCCCUGCACUUCGGGAUAAGCCUGGGAAACUGGGUCUAAUACCGGAUAGGACUACUGCCUGCAUGGGUGGGGGUGGAAAGCUUUUGCGGUGUGGGAUGGGCCCGCGGCCUAUCAGCUUGUUGGUGGGGUAGUGGCCCACCAAGGCGACGACGGGUAGCCGGCCUGAGAGGGCGACCGGCCACACUGGGACUGAGACACGGCCCAGACUCCUACGGGAGGCAGUAGUGGGGAAUAUUGCGCAAUGGGCGAAAGCCUGACGCAGCGACGCCGCGUGAGGGAUGACGGCCUUCGGGUUGUAAACCUCUUUCAGCAGGGAAGAAGCGAAAGUGACGGUACCUGCAGAAGAAGCACCGGCUAACUACGUGCCAGCCGCCGCCGUAA